rnacentral:lncRNA from 1 species
AAUAUAUAUAUAUAUAUAUAUAUAUAUAUACUAUAUAAAAAUAUUUAUAAACUGCCGCCUUUGCAUGCAUUGAAUAAAAAAACAUAUCAGCUUAAUUUUUAGUUAGAAAGAAGGCGAGCAGUUUUAGUUUUCAUUCGGAAUACAGUUGCUGUAUCGCGUACAAUCUCACAUUUGUUAGAUCGUUAUGAGUCUACCGAGAAAUAUUCGAAAGAUUUCAGUUACAUUUUAAUGGUACAAAUGCAUUUUGGGUGUUUCACAAACCAAGUUGCAUUUGUAGCAACGUUAGGAAAUAUGUUAUGAGUAAAUUAAAAAAUAAAUAAAUAAAUUCCAAGCAGAAUUGGGCUAGCGAGGAAGAUAAACGUGAUCUUUCUUUUUAAGAGUGGGGAUGGGAGGAAAAAAGUCCGUUGUUGCUAUUAAGAUUUUAACAAAAAAAAAUUAUCAGAUUACAAAAAUAUAUAUGUCUUCGUCAGAAUUAGCGUUGAUAUUUACUGUUGCUAUGUUUUUAUUGCGUAUACAUCGAAACUUUAUAGAAUGUAAUGGGUGUUGGUGCAAUGAUAGCAUGCAGUGUUCUAUGUUUGUCAUAGUGAGUUUAUCAUGAAUGAAAUACCACAUAUUCAAUGGUAGGCGUGUGGGAGAGUGUGUAAAUGUACGCUUUUUUAAACUAUAGCCUACUUGUACAGCAGAAACAUCGAGAAUGAUUUCAUGAGAGCGAUCAUCUGUGUAAAAUUUUCUAUAAAUACAGUGUAAAAUCUUUUUAAUGUGUAAUAUAAAAGUAGAUGAUAUAUUCUUUUACUAAAUGUUUUUUUUUCUUUUUUUAAAUCUUUUUCCGAAUUUACGUGGACAAUAUUUCUAAAAAAAGAAUAUACACCCAUAUAUAUACAUAUAUAUAGAGAGAUUAAUUUGCAAAAGUAUUAGCUAAUUCAUGUUUUAUCUAAACCAUAAAGAUAAAAAAAAUGAUAGCAAAUUGAAAGUCCAAAGAUUGUAAAAGCUUAUAUAGUGUUAUCUAUGCAAAGAUUUCGUUAUAGAAUAUAGAAGAUGAGCAAAGGAAUUGUAUAGAAACCACUAAAUCGAUGUUUUUUAAAGUAGUGGUUCUUUAUCAAAGAAUGUUUCCAGAUUGAUUUUUGUUUUCAGGGAUUAACAAUAAAAGUACCAGCAACAUACCCUAAAAGACCUCAGCGAUCGAGUACAGGUGUUGCAGACAAGUACAAACUGGUGAGGUUCUUAAAGGAAUGUCGUUAACAAAAAUAUCAGCUUUCCUUAGACGUCACCAUAUCAAUGUUAUAUUGAUGAAAAUGCAUGACGAUUAUUUUUACAAAAGAAAGUGGCUGUUUUCCUUGAAAACACCGUUGUUAAAGUAAUAUAUUUUUAUUGUUUCUAGUGAUGCAGAAUUAGAAAAUGAUGUCGAGUCCUAGACGUCUACAUUGAUGAUACAUCAAUGGAAAAAAAAAAAAAAAAACUAACUGUGUGGUGUAUAUUGAUGUGAUAUUCAUAUCUACGAUAAUAUAUAUAUAUAUAUUAUAUAUAUUAAAUGUUAUAUCAAUAAAGAUCUUUCUUUAUUCCGCAAUUUAUUUUCUUUUGUCC